AUAUUUAAUUGCCGAAGGAAGGACGCAGAAGGAUAACACAGGCCACUAUUGGAUGUGGUUUUAAACAGUUAGUCUUCAUAAGAGUCAAAUGCUUUUAUGUUUAAGGAUAAGCUGUGAAUGUACCAAGUUUACUUGGAAAUUGUGUGAUUUCACGCUGCUGAAAAAAGUUUCGUAGGAAGAAAAUAUUGCCCGUACCGCAAACCGACACAGGUACUCAAGUGGAGAACACUAAGGUGAGCGAGUGAACUAUUGUUAAGGAACUCUGCAAAAUGAGUCCGUAACUUCGGAAGAAGGACUGCUGGUUUUAUACCAGCCGCAGCAAAUAGGCCCAAACAACUGUUUAUCAAAAACACAGGUUUCUGCAAAAUCGUAAGAUGAAGUAUAGGGGCUGACGCCUGCCCAGUGCUGGAAGGUUAAAAGGAGGACUUAGCUUCGGCGAAGGUCUUAAUUGAAGCCCCAGUGAACGGCGGCCGUAACUAUAACGGUCCUAAGGUAGCGAAAUUCCUUGUCGGGUAAGUUCCGACCCGCAUGAAAGGCGUAAUGAUUUGGGCGCUGUCUCAACAAUAGAC
rnacentral:rRNA from 1 species